AGCCGCGGCGGCCGGACCCAGGCGACCGCCGGGGGACCCAAAACUCUUGUUUUUUCAGUGUAUUCUGAGUGGCAUAAGCAAAUAAUCAAAACUUUCAGCAACGGAUCUCUUGGUUCUGGCAUCGAUGAAGAACGCAGCGAAAUGCGAUAAGUAAUGUGAAUUGCAGAAUUCAGUGAAUCAUCGAAUCUUUGAACGCACAUUGCGCCCGCCAGUACUCUGGCGGGCAUGCCUGUCCGAGCGUCAUUUCAACCCUCAGCACCCGCCUUCGCGGCGGGAGCUGGCGUUGGGGAUCGGCCGCCCUCAGCGGCGGCCGGCCCCGAAACGAAGUGGCGGCCGCGUCGCGACCUCCUCUGCGCAGUAGCGAUACCUCGCAGCCUGGAUAGCGGUGCGGCCACGCCGUAAAACCCCAACUUUACCAAGGUGACCUCGAUCAGGUAGAAUACCCGCUGAACUUAAGCAUAUC
rnacentral:rRNA from 1 species